rnacentral:sRNA from 1 species
AACUUGUUUGAGUCUCCCACGUAU